UUCAAACUACUUUUAUGGAGAGUUUGAUCCUGGCUCAGGACGAACGCUGGCGGCGUGCCUAAUACAUGCAAGUCGAGCGCGGGAAGCGAGCUGAUCCCUUCG
rnacentral:rRNA from 1 species